rnacentral:tRNA from 1 species
GGGGCGGUAGCUCAGUUGGGAGAGCACCGGCUUUGCAAGCCGGGGGUCGUGGGUUCGAUUCCCAUCCGCUCCA